rnacentral:rRNA from 1 species
UACGGAGGGUGCGAGCGUUGUCCGGAAUCAUUGGGCGUAAAGGGCGCGUAGGUGGCCCGGUCAGUCAGCGGUGAAAGCGCGGGGCUCAACUCCGCGUCGGCCAUUGAUACUGCGGGGCUGGAGCACUGUAGAGGCAGGCGGAAUUCCGGGUGUAGCGGUGGAAUGCGUAGAGAUCCGGAAGAACACCGGUGGCGAAGGCGGCCUGCUGGGCAGUUGCUGACACUGAGGCGCGACAGCGUGGGGAGCAAACAGG